rnacentral:rRNA from 1 species
GACGAACGCUGGCGGCGUGCCUAAUACAUGCAAGUAGAACGCUGAAGAGAGGAGCUUGCUCUUCUUGGAUGAGUUGCGAACGGGUGAGUAACGCGUAGGUAACCUGCCUUGUAGCGGGGGAUAACUAUUGGAAACGAUAGCUAAUACCGCAUAACAAUGGAUGACACAUGUCAUUUAUUUGAAAGGGGCAAUUGCUCCACUACAAGAUGGACCUGCGUUGUAUUAGCUAGUAGGUGAGGUAACGGCUCACCUAGGCGACGAUACAUAGCCGACCUGAGAGGGUGAUCGGCCACACUGGGACUGAGACACGGCCCAGACUCCUACGGGAGGCAGCAGUAGGGAAUCUUCGGCAAUGGGGGCAACCCUGACCGAGCAACGCCGCGUGAGUGAAGAAGGGUUUCGGAUCGUAAAGCUCUGUUGUAAGUCAAGAACGAGUGUGAGAGUGGAAAGUUCACACUGUGACGGUAGCUUAACAGAAAGGGACGGCUAACUACGUG